GUUACAGUUCCAAAUUCUGAAAGGUUGCCUCAUCGCUGGAAAUAUGUGUAAUGUUGGAGCAAUGCUAGAUUAUAAAAUUUAUCGUUAAUUAAUAAUGAAACACACAAAGAUUGAGCAGUUGUUGUCAUCAGAAACAUCUACCAGGAACUUACAGGGGGUCAUGAGAUAGCUCUACAGCAAACAAGAAAGAGAAGAAAUGCUUCUUGCCCUGGCAGAAUUAUAAGUGGGCACACUUGCUAUGUUAUACAAUAUUAGGCAUGCAGUAGAAAAAAACAAGGAACCAUACAAAUCACCAGGUGUCUGGUCACAAACUCUGGCAGAGCUUCACACCAAGCAGGCAAGCUACAAGAUUUGGAACAACACAGCUUAUAGAUGAAAGUUAAAGGCAUUUAAUUUACUUGAAAACAGAGGAAGAAAGGACCAACACAUAAAAGAACAUUCAUUUUGAGGGAUGAGCAAUUCAAUUGAGUUCAAGGGUAGAGCAAUGGUGACUUCUCAGCCACCUGCUAUCAAUUUGACAUGUAUUAAGCACACGACUGGGUUAAUAAAAGUGGGAGUUUGGGUUAAAAUGCCCUUUGAGAGGCCCUGAAAAAAUGUUUGUCUAAGAAAGUUGAAACUAUGGAAGAAAAGGUGGUCAACUUCAGAGACAUAGAUGUAACUCCUGCAACGUGCUUCAACAUGGUUUAGCCAAGCGGAAACUUUUUCUUCCUAGUGUAUGCUCUUUAACGUAUUUAAGAUGUCCUUAACAUCUUUCAGAAAUCUACUUUUCUACCAAUAUUAUAUGGGUUAAUAUUUUUCAUAGAUAAAGCACAAAUAGUAGAGGGCUAAUUUUCAGACUAUGCUGCAUUUAUGAAGCAAAGCAAACCUCAUCUGCUUUCAUGACUUGAAUGGAGGAGAAUGGUUAGAGACUAUUAAAAGAGGAGAGGAGAGGAAAGAAGAGGCAAGAGCAAGAACAUACAGCAGACUGGCUGCUCCAACUUGGCAGUGGUCUCUCUAGUUCCUGGAGUCCUGUCCAUGAAUGAGGUUGGACUUGCAGCCACCAGCCAUUGCCAGUGGAGAGGCAGCGCCAGACUCCUACCAGCACUCACAUGGGUGGCAAUGGAAUGAAGUCACCACAUUUAGCAAAGGGUGAUGGCACAUUUCUUGGGUUUGCUAUGGGAGUAACCUUCUGUUUAAAUGUAUUACACAGAGCUCAUCUCUAACAAAAUCAUCUUCCUAUUUGGUUAACACUGUAAAUGAAAAUUCUGAACAGUGUGUGUUUACGCAAAGGUAGAAUCUAUACUCUCAGACUGCUAUCCAUUUGUGUGACCAUAAAGUCUUUAAAACUGAAGUAACGAUGGGGCAGAGAGAGGCAGUAUUUAAUAUCAAAAAGCCACAUGGUUGUUACAAUUUUAGGCAAGCUUAAGCAGAAAUUGUAUAUGUAAGGAAUAAAAUGUCAAUGUUACUUUCAGUUUGAAUUUCUACCACUGAAAUUUUAAUUCAAUCCAAAAUAUUCCUCUGCACAUGAGUCAGGCAGAAUGACCAAAUGUUGAUGCUGCGUGAUGAUGAUGUCCAUAGCCUGGACCUCUUCCCAUCUGGCUCCUUGGAUUACCUCACAGCCCUUCCUAGGUACCCAGAAUGUUUGCUCUUUGGUUAUAAGGCCAGAUGAAUGAGCAAAAACUCCCACCUAAAUCUGUAGCAUGCGGACAACCAAAUGAAUAGAUAUUUGAUUCUACUCACAGAUAUCAAACUAAAUAUGUUAAAUUCUAAAGAGAGCUAUUUCAACACUCUCAAUCUUCAAAAUGGAAAAGCUGCUUCUGUACUUAUGUAAAAUAUAAUAUGCUAUGUUAUACUAUUUGUUACUUCACAAAGUUUUUAACACAUCAUUUUAACACCUCCAAGUCUAUAAAUGUAUACUGCAGCAGAAGCCAUAUUGAGCAUAUAUAAUCAAAAUCGAAUCCUAUAUUCCUGCAGCUCUCACCACCAUCAAAGCUUGCCAUCUGGAGAAAACACAGGGCGACCGUGGCCUACAGAUAGAUGCUUAGAGAAUCCAACCUUCAUCCUGAGCAUGAGGGUGUUGGCGUUUGGAAAAGAGGAAGAAGGGGAAGCAGGCAAAUGUGGGCUUGGAGAGUGACAAUGCUAAUGAAAUAGGGUAAAUAACAAGCUUGGAAGUGAAGACCAGGCCAGUUUCCUAGAACACUUUUCCAUUCUGUAUCUUGAGACUAUGGAGACAGGAAGUGGAGAGAGCAGAUAAAUCCAUGACACUGUACUCUCCGGGAUCAGCUCCUGCCAUUCCGACUGCCCUAAUAUCCUUUCCUGCCUCCUCUCUCUUCUAGUAUUGCUCUCAGAUCAUGCUGGAUAUGCUUAAUAUAAACUGAAUUUAUCAUCUUCUAGAGAUUCCAAUAUCGACUUUAUGUCAAUAACCUCCCAAAUGCCUGUAUUUUGUUCUGAAGUUUCCUCGGGGCAGUAUUUUCAGCUCUCUAUUGGCCAUACCACUUGGAUGAAUAAAAAGAACGUCAAUCUCCAUGUGUC
rnacentral:lncRNA from 1 species